UACAUGGGGUGCAAACGUUGCUCGGAAUUAUUGGGCGUAAAGCGCGCGUAGGCGGCCACUUAAGUCGGAUGUGAAAGCCCCUGGCUCAACUGGGGAAGUGCACCCGAAACUGAAUGGCUUGAAUGCAAAAGAGGGUCGCGGAAUUCCCGGUGUAGAGGUGAAAUUCGUAGAUAUUGGGAAGAACACCGGUGGCGAAGGCGGCGACCUGGUCCGAUACUGACGCUGAGGCGCGAAAGCGUGGGGAGCAAACAGG
rnacentral:rRNA from 1 species